UUAUGUAUCUUUGCUUUGUGAGUAUGAGGAACUAAACCCCUCUUAGUUAGGGGGUGAUUCGAAACUAUGUUUAUACUUGCAAUAUGAUUUGAUUACAUCCAGUUGUGAUUCAUAAGUUGUGAAUUCAAUUUACUUAUCCGUUCAUAUAAAAACUAAUUUGUGUAUGUUGGUUAAGAGUGCACGCUUAAUUUUCAUGCAUGAAUUUGAUGCUAGAAUAUAAGGGAGUUUCACCUAAUCGUUAUAAACUUAUAUUCACAAGUAGUGAAGGUUGCUAGUCACAAU
rnacentral:lncRNA from 1 species